UUACACAGGUGAUCAGGUAGAGAAUACCAAGGCGAUCGAGUGAACCAUGGUUAAGGAACUCGGCAAAAUGCCCCCGUAACUUCGGGAGAAGGGGGGCCGGAUGCGUUACAUGGCUUGCCCAUGGAAGCGUUGAUGGCCGCAGAGACCAGGCCCAAGCGACUGUUUACUAAAAACACAGGUCCGUGCGAAGAAGUAAUUCGAUGUAUACGGACUGACGCCUGCCCGGUGCUGGAACGUUAAGGGGACAGGUUAGCUGGUUUAGGCCGGCGAAGCCUUGAACUUAAGCGCCAGUAAACGGCGGUGGUAACUAUAACCAUCCUAAGGUAGCGAAAUUCCUUGUCGGGUAAGUUCCGACCUGCACGAAUGGCGUAACGACUUGGGCGCUGUCUCAACCAUGGACUCGGCGAAAUUGCAUUACGAGCAAAGAUGCUCGUUACGCGCAGCAGGACGGAAAGACCCCGGGACCUUUACUACAACUUGGUAUUGGUGGUCGGUACAACUUGUGUAGGAUAGGUGGGAGACUGUGAAAUCCGGACGCCAGUUCGGGUGGAGUCAUCGUUGAAAUACCACUCUGGUUGUUCUGGCUGUCUAACUUCGGUCCAUUAUCUGGAUCAGGGACAGUGCCUGGUGGGUAGUUUGACUGGGGCGGUCGCCUCCUAAAAGGUAACGGAGGCGCUCAAAGGUUCCCUCAGCCUGGUUGGCAAUCAGGUGUCGAGUGUAAGUGCACAAGGGAGCUUGACUGUGAGACAGACAUGUCGAGCAGGGACGAAAGUCGGAACUAGUGAUCCGGCGGUGGCAUGUGGGAGCACCGUCGCUCAACGGAUAAAAGGUACCCCGGUAUAACAGGCUGAUCUUCCCCAAGAGUCCAUAUCGACGGGAUGGUUUGGCACCUCGAUGUCGGCUCGUCGCAUCCUGGGGCUGGAGUAGGUCCCAAGGGUUGGGCUGUUCGCCCAUUAAAGCGGCACGCGAGCUGGGUUUAGAACGUCGUGAGACAGUUCGGUCCCUAUCCGCUGCGCGCGCAGGAGACUUGAGAAGGGCUGCCCCUAGUACGAGAGGACCGGGGUGGACGAACCUCUGGUGUGCCAGUUGUUCCGCCAGGAGCACGGCUGGUUGGCUACGUUCGGGAGUGAUAACCGCUGAAAGCAUCUAAGCGGGAAGCACGCUUCAAGAUGAGGUCUCCCACCGAGUUAAUCGGGUAAGGCCCCCAGUAGACCACUGGGUUGAUAGGCCAGAGGUGGAAGCGCCGUAAGGUGUGGAGCUGACUGGUACUAAUAGGCCGAGGGCUUGUC
rnacentral:rRNA from 1 species